UUCUUGGAAGCCAUUGUCUCAC
rnacentral:siRNA from 1 species